rnacentral:rRNA from 1 species
GACGAACGCUGGCGGCGUGCUUAACACAUGCAAGUCGAACGGACGAGUGAGAUAAGUUUACUUAACUCACAAGUUAGUGGCGGACGGGUGAGUAACACGUGGAUAAUCUACCUGCAACACCGGGAUAACGCUGUGAAAACGGUGCUAAUACCGGAUACGUUCCCUUGUGCGCAUGUAUGAGGGAAGAAAGCUCAGGCGGUUGCAGAUGAGUCCGCGGCUGAUUAGCUAGUUGGUGAGGUAAAGGCUCACCAAGGCGAUGAUCAGUAGCCGGCCUGAGAGGGUGAACGGCCACACUGGGACUGAGACACGGCCCAGACUCCUACGGGAGGCAGCAGUGGGGAAUCUUCCGCAAUGGGCGCAAGCCUGACGGAGCAACGCCGCGUGGGUGAAGAAGGCCUCGGUUGUAAGCCUGUCUUAUGGAGAAGUCAGUGACGGUACCAUAGGAGGAAGCCACGGCUAACUAACGUGCCAGCAGCCGCGGUAAAGAGAGUACA